rnacentral:rRNA from 2 species
AGUGGAGCCUGCGGCUUAAUUUGACUCAACACGGGAAACCUCACCAGGCCCGGACACCGGAAGGAUUGACAGAUUGAGAGCUCUUUCUUGAUUCGGUGGGUGGUGGUGCAUGGCCGUUCUUAGUUGGUGGAGCGAUUUGUCUGGUUAAUUCCGAUAACGAACGAGACUCUAGCCUGCUAACUAGGCGUAUUUCGACAUCCCAAAGGCCCGCCGGUUUGGGGUUCCGACUCCUUUCCGCGCGCGGUUUUUACUGUCGGCGUACAAACAAUUCUUCUUAGAGGGACAGGCGGCUUCUAGCCGCACGAGAUUGAGCAAUAACAGGUCUGUGAUGCCCUUAGAUGUUCUGGGCCG